CCUACGGGAGGCUGCAGUGGGGGAUAUUGCACAAUGGGGGAAACUCUGAUGCAGCGACGCCGCGUGAGUGAAGAAGUAUUUCGGUAUGUAAAGCUCUAUUAGCAGGGAAGAAAAUGAUAGUACCUGACCAAGAAGCACCGGCUAACUACGUGCCGGCAGCCGCGGUAAUACGUAGGGGGCAAGCGUUAUCCGGAGUGACGGGGUGUAAAGGGAGCGUAGGCGGUUAUGUAAGUCUGGAGUGAAAGCCCGGGGCCCAACCCCGGGACUGCUUUGGAAACUGUGGAACUGGAGUGCAGGAGGGGCAGGCGGAAUUCCUGGUGUAGCGGUGAAAUGCGUAGAUAUCAGGAGGAACACCGGCGGCGAAGGCGGCCUGCUGGACUGAAACUGACGUUGAGGCUCGAAAGCGUGGGGAGCAAACAGGAUUAGAUACCCCUGUAGUC
rnacentral:rRNA from 1 species